AAUAUAUUGUCAAAGAAACUGUCUGCUUAAGGAAAUAUAACUCUUGCUUUUUUUCUUAAUAUUUAACUAAGGAAAACUAUGAAAAAGUUAUAUAUACACCUGUACACUUUUGAUACUGCUUGUCCUGAAAUUUUACUUAUGUUCACUUCUUUAUGUUGUGGCUUCUGAAGAACAAAACAUUCCGCAAGUUAGAAUUCAUGCACAAUUAGGUCUUGUUGGGUAUAUUAGAAGGGUCAGUGUUUAAUAAAAUCGUUUUCAAAGCCAGACCUUAUCUCUUCUUCCAUGUUCAUGGGUAAAAGCCCAAGUGUCUUAUCAGAGGAUUCCUUUGUCAGGGAAUCUCUGAAUGAAUGAGCUUCUUAUGCAUCCCUGAUGCUUUCUGAUCAAUCUCACUGAACGUCAUUGCAAGUCCUCUGUAGCUGUACCCAAGUCAGCUUUUAAUUUUUAUCCUUUGUCUUCAUCUUUGAUUUAGUUUUGCCAUUUUCGAAAGUCCGUCUUGGUCCAAGAGCCCAUAGUUUCCUGUCUGCCAUUAGUUUCUAAUUUCAUGUCUUACUGAUACAGGUUCAUCUACCCCACUCAGAUUAGCUCUGGAUUCUGGGCUUCAGCUCAGGCCUGUGGUGCUCUUAUUCCUGAGAAGGAUGUUUAGGCAAGGAGAUAAGAAAAGUCAGGUGAUUCCACCAGUACCUACUGUCAGGCCUCUGAGCCUAAGCCAAGCCAUCGCAUCCCCUGUGACUUGCAGGUAUACGCCCAGAUGGCCUGAAGUAACUGAAGAAUCACAAAAGAAGUGAAUAUGCCCUGCCCCAACUUAACUGAUGACAUUCCACCACAAAAGAAGUGUAAAUGGCCGGUCCUUGCCUUAAGUGAUGACAUUACCUUGUGAAAGUCCUUUUCCUGGCUCAUCCUGGCUCAAAAAUCACCCCCACUGAGAACCUUGUGACCCCCACUCCUGCCCGCCAGAGAACAAACCCCCUUUGACUGUAAUUUUCCUUUACCUACCCAAAUCCUAUAAAACGGCCCCAUCCUUAUCUCCCUUCGCUGACUCUUCGGACUCAGCCGGCCUGCACCCAGGUGAAAUAAACAGCCAUGUUGCUCACACAAAGCCUGUUUGGUGGUCUCUUCACAUGGACGCGCAUGAAAUUUGGUGCCGUGACUUGGAUAGGGGGACCUCCCUUGGGAGAUCAAUCCCCCGUCCUCCUGCUCUUUGCUCCAUAAGAAAGAUCCACCUACGACCUCACGUCCUCAGACCGACCAGCCCAAGAAACAUCUCAGCAAUUUCAAAUCCGGUUCCAAACCUUAUGAAUCUACUGUAGCUGAUCUAGAUACACUUCAGGUCUCAGCUGAGAACUCACAUCCUUCUGAAGCUUAUAAGACUUGGGCAAAAUCCAACUUGAAUCAAUUAGUGAAACAGAAUGAAUCCACCUUUUCACCACUUCAAUCAAAUGCCAGUUAGUAGCAAUUAGUACUCACUGAAGAUGAUAUACGAUCCUGAAAAUUCUAAUCAGGACUCUGAUGUAGACCUACAUUAUCAGCACUUCAUGGAUGAUUUCUAAAUUGUAGUAGAAGACUCCUCUGACCCUUGGCUCAAGUAGAUAUAUAUGUAUUGUAAAGAAUAUUUAUGACCAUAUUGUGCAGUGUGUUUAUAAAAAUUGGUCCCUCAGGCUACAAAAGCCUGGAUGUAUAGUCAGUGUACAAGCAAAUUUAAAAUGCCUUACUUUGUAUCUGGGCUCAAGGAAUCCCAACCCAAUCCAGCCCAUUCAUUUACUUUGAUUCAGUGGUUGAUAUUGUGGGUCACAGGAAGUCCUUAUAUUUUUGUAAAAGCUGUCAUUCUCUGGGUCUCAUAUGUAUUGGAAUGCAGCACCAAAUGAGCUGUCAUGUUAGUUCUGCAAGGAUGCUGGUUAUAAGGAGGGAUAAUUUCUGUUAUGGUCACUGCAGGUGCUGAAUUCCUACAGCUGUAUCUGUUUCACUGAUCCUAAGGCUAGCAAACCCUGUGUUCUGCUGGACUGGAGUUGCUAGAAUGGUUCACACACCACUCCUCACAUAGAGGUGCUGUGCCCUUUCCCACAUUUCCCUUCUCCUCACCCCACAUCAAAAACUCACUCAAAGAAGUCACAUUGCACACACCUAGACUCCAGGUCAGACCAUAUCUGCCCAUAGACUUGAGCUUUUUUUGUUAUUGUAGACUUGAUUCUGUUUUCUGGGGUCUUGUUUUUGUUGUUGUUGUUUAACUUCUGGCACCUUCACAGAUCAGGAAGCAAUGUUUGUUCUUCUUCCCCACUGUCCUCCACGGAACUCCUCCAUACUGUCUCCCAGAAGCCUGUUUUUAUGCUUACUCAUUGUAGUUAUUGGUCAGCUCCUUCUCUCAACACUCAAGCAGCAAACUAGAUUCAAAACUAAUUUUUCAUGGCAUUUGAGACUAAAUAGCUAAGUUUGAGUUGGAUAAUCUCACAUACUAUGAUCAACUCUUGCUUUAUCUGCCAGUUCUCCUCACACCAAGUCUUUUUUUCCUUUCUUUUUUUUUUUUUUUUUUUUUUUGAGGCAGGGUCUCACUCUGUCACCCAGGCUGGAGUCUGUCACACGAUCACAGUUCACUGCAGCCUUUACCUACUGGGCUCAAAUGAUCCUCCCACCACAGCCUCCUGAGUAACUGAGACCACAGGCAUCUGCCACCACACCUGUUUUUUUGUUUGGUUGUUUGUUUGUAGAGAUGGCAUUUCACCAUGUUGCCUGGGUUGGUCUCAAACUCCUGAGCUGAAAGUGAUCCUCCCACCUUUGCCUCUCAGUGUUGGGAUUACAGAAAUGAGCCACCACACCUGGCCCACAGACACCUUCUAAUAUGCUUAUGUGCAUGUCCACAUUAGUGAAUGGAAGAAUGCUUUCUUCUGUCUCUAUGGAAAAAAAAUCCUGGGGAGAAAUUCAAGCUAGCUGAAGAAAUUUGCAUAAGUAAUGGGGAACCAAAUGUUAAUCACCAAGACAAUGGGGAAAAUGUCUCCAGGGCAUUUCAGAGAUCCUAGAGGCAGCUUUUCCCAUCACAGGCCUGGAGGCCUAAGAGGGAAAAAGUGGUUUCUUGGGUUAACCUUGGGAUGUGGCAUCCUGCAUCCCAGUCACUCCAGCUCCAGCCACGGAUACAAGGGCCAAGGUACAGCUCAGCCCAUUGCUUCAAAGGGUGGAAGCCCUAAACGUUGACAGCUUCCAUGUGGUGUUGAGCCUGCGAAUGCACAGAAGACAAGAGUUGAGGUUUGAGUACCUCCACCUAGAUUUCAGAGGAUAUAUGGAAAUACCUGGAUGUCUAGGCAGAAGUGUGCUGCAGGGGCAGAGCCCUCAUGGAGAACCUUUGCUAAGGCAGUGUGGAAGGGAAAUGUGUGGGUUGGAUACCCCACAGAGAGUCCCCACUGGGGCACUGCCUAAUGGAGCUGUGAGAAGAGAUCCGAUAUCCUCCAGACCCCAGAAUGGUAGAUCCACCUACAGCUUGCCCCAUGCACCUGGAAAAGCCACAGACACUCAACACCAGCCCAUAAAAGCAGCCAGGAGGGGGACUGUACGCGGCAGAGCCACAGGAUGGAGCUUUCCACAACUGUGGGAGCCCACUCCUUGCAUCGGCAUGCCCUGGAUGUGAGACAUGGAGUCAAAGGAGAUUUUGGACCUUUAAAAUUUAAUGACUGCCCAGCAGGGUUUCAGACUUGCAUGGGGCCUGUGGCCCCUUUGUUUUGGCCAGUUUCUUCCAUUUUGAAUCGGAACAUUUACCCAAUGAUUCUACCCUCACUGUGUCUUGGAAGUAACUAACACCUGCUUAUUGAUUUUACAGGCUCAUAGGUGGAAGGGACUUGUCUUUUCUCAGGUGAAACUUUGGACUUGGACUUUUGAGUUAAUGCUGGAUGAGAUAAAACUUUGGGGGCUUUUGGGAAGGCAAUGACUGGUUUUGAAAUGUCAAGACAUGAGAUUUGGGAUGUGCCAGGGGUGGAAUGAUAUGAUUUGGCUCUGUGCCCCCACCCAAAUCUCACUUCAAAUUGUAAUCCCCAUGUGAUGUGGGAGGGACCAGGUGAGAGGUGAUUGGAUCAUGGGGGUGGUUUUCCCCAUGCUGUUCUCAUGACAGUGGGGAGUUCUCAUGCGAUCCGAUGGUUUAAAAGUGAAAGUUUCCCCUGUGCUCUCUCUCUUUCCUACCACCUUGUGAAGAAGGUGCUUGCUUCCCUUUCGCAUUCUGCCAUAAUUGUAAGUUUCCUAAGGUCUUUCCAGCUAUGCUGAACUAUGAGUCAAUUAAACCUGUUUUGUUUAUAAAUUACCCAGUCUCAGGUAGUAUCUUUAUAGCAUGUGAAAAUGGAAUAAUACAAUACAUAAAUGCAUAAAUGGAGCCCUUGCAGCUUUGUGUCCAAUCUUCUUAAAUAACCAAAAUUUAGAAGUAGACAAUGAG
rnacentral:lncRNA from 10 species